rnacentral:rRNA from 1 species
AGUGAACGCUGGCGGUAGGCCUAACACAUGCAAGUCGAACGGCAGCACAGUAAGAGCUUGCUCUUACGGGUGGCGAGUGGCGGACGGGUGAGGAAUACAUCGGAAUCUACUUUUUCGUGGGGGAUAACGUAGGGAAACUUACGCUAAUACCGCAUACGACCUACGGGUGAAAGCAGGGGAUCUUCGGACCUUGCGCGAUUGAAUGAGCCGAUGUCGGAUUAGCUAGUUGGCGGGGUAAAGGCCUACCAAGGCGACGAUCCGUAGCUGGUCUGAGAGGAUGAUCAGCCACACUGGAACUGAGACACGGUCCAGACUCCUACGGGAGGCAGCAGUGGGGAAUAUUGGACAAUGGGCGCAAGCCUGAUCCAGCCAUACCGCGUGGGUGAAGAAGGCCUUCGGGUUGUAAAGCCCUUUUGUUGGGAAAGAAAAGUAGCAGGUUAAUACCCCGCUGUUCUGACGGUACCCAAAGAAUAAGCACCGGCUAACUUCGUG